UAGUUUUAAGAACUUGAGUUAUGUUCUUUAGAAAUUGAUUUAUUUACACAUUUAUUGUUCCAUCAUCUGGUAUACAACACCUGAUGUUUUAAUUUUUUUUUUUUAACCAGCAGCAAUUUCAUAGGCUUCAAGUUUAAUGAAAAGGCUUUUAGUUUUGGACAUUUUACCUGAUAAACAGACAAGAAAACGGUAAUGACAGGACAAACAAAACAUUUUAUUGUAAGCUAAAGCUAUGUGACUGCUUGUCAUGCUUUUUUUACAUUGCUUAUUAUUAGUAAAAUGGUGUUUAACAUUUCAGAAAACAUUAUUAAAAGAACAAUGAAACAAAAGUGCUUCUAAACAACAAAAUACAAAAAUUAAUCCCAUCUCAAACUGGAGUUGUCCAAUAUAUUUAAUGGGGGUGGGGUAUGGUGUUUUGUCUCCACCUUUGGUUUUCAUCACUUUAAUACAGAUUUCUGAAAAAUACUGACUAGCCCUUCACACAGCUAAAAAUGGGAAUCAUGUGGCAAAACCAGUUUCUGUAUUUCCAGUCCCUUUGACAGGUGUGUGACUAUUAGACAAAGGACUUUCUUCCACACUUCUAAUGGAGAGAACCCAUAACUGAGAGGCUACACCCCAGCAUCUUUGAUGACUACGCCUGUAUUAACCAACUACAAAGAGCGCCGACCUUUCAUCUUCAAAGCCACUUCUCUAAGGAAAGGAUUUUUUAAGAAGUGUAUCUUAUGAAGGCAAGGAAAGUCUUACAGCAAAACAAGGUUCAUCACCAUAGUUUCCAGAAGUAAUGCCAAGCAUUUUCAAAUCAAAACCUGAAGACUCUGAAGAACCUGCAGUGUUGAGCCAGUAUAUUGAAUCCACCGGAGGAGUGUGUACCUUGUCAAUUAUUGCUGAACUCAGGAGGUAGUUAUUGACAAGGUAAGAAGAUUCCACUCUAAGUCAGUUAAUGAUUUACACAUGAAGCAGGAAAAACAGAAUACACAUUUCCCCAUAUUUUACAAGAUUGUUUUAUAUUUGCAGGAAGUGACAGUUUAACUUCCUCGUCCCAUGAAAUUAUAAUUAUCAUAAUUAAAAGAAAAUAUACUGAAAACUGUAAUUAAAUAAGAAAUUCUAAAAGAAAAUAGCUGAUGAAUUGGUCAUCUCUUAGGAUGUCUGCAGAUCAUUCUAAGCAUGAAAAUUCACAUAGGUCAGUAAAACACUAAACAGCAACUCAAGAGAAACUAAUAAUAAAACUGCCUCUAAUUAGCACAAUGACUCAGAUAACUAGUUGCAUUGACUACCUGCUUGCUACUCUUCAUUCCAUUUUUGCUAUCUGGUAGAAACCCCAACAAAUUAAAGCAUCACAAAAGCUUGAGGGCACGACAGAAAAUGAAUGAAAAUCUGGUCAGGUAAAGUAGCACUGGCCCCCCUCACAAAGCUGCCACAUGCAGAAGCAUCACUAAAGCACUGGAGAAGCUAGAGAAGCACAUCCCAGGCACAACUAUGCAUCAUCCAUGUCUUGGGCACGAAAGCACUAUGGAAAUCCGGGGCACCAAGUCUCACCAGAGGUGAUUAAAGAAACCCCAAGGAGAACGCUGCUUUCCUUUCCAGAACAGAUGUCUCAGUUCCAUUUGCCAGCACAUCUGAUUUCAGUGUUCCCAGUACAAAGUACUUACAUUUCACAAGAGGGACCUGACAGCAGUGCCAAGCAGUGCUAAACCUCACUUGUCUAGAAUAGAAAAAUUACUAUUUAUCCUACCCCAGAAGGUAAGAAAGAUUGAGUUAUAUGCAUAAAAACUGUCAUUUUAAAAACACUUGAGAGAAUGGAACAGAAAAACCAGCAAUAGCCUCUAACCAGUGCAGUGACAACAUACCUUCUCAGUUCAGAGAUCCCAUUUUUACUCAAUUUAAAUUGUGAUCACAUUUGUUACCUACAUAAAGUUGAGGGACCAUAUUCAACAGAACUGUACUAGCAACUGGCUUUCAGUCAGCAAGACAUCUCAGGGGCACAGUGCCUAUUUCUGAUACACUAAACACUGUAAAGUCUAAGAAACUACCAGGACAGAGAAACUUAAUUGUGCAUAAAUAUCCUAGUUUAAGGCUUAUCUUUAGUAUUCUGUGUUGAGUUUGUCUUUGCAUAUGCAGAGAACCUGGACAGGUUUGCUGUAAUCCACAGAAAAAUCAACAUUAGUAAAGGGGGAAUCAUAAAACACAACAAAUUCUCAUUUUAAGGAGAAAAAGCAAUCUACAUACUAUUCUUCUAGAAUGUGGAAAGACAAAGUGUGGCUCUUGCUUAAUAAAAAGCAGGAACCUGCUUAAUAAAAGCCGAAAAAUGUAUGAAGAAGGUUGUUCGAAAAACACAAGGGGUUUGGGUUGGUUUUAUUUUCUCUCUCCAGUAACUGCUACACUUGAAAGUCAGUAAAACACACUGGCAGAGAGCCAGACAAGCUGCUUACUAAUAAUGUCAAAAAAGUGGGUCAAGUUGCUCAUUCACUAGCAGUGGGAAAAAUAAAGGAAAAAAAUCAGUCCAGAGAGCUAAUGGAAUGGUAGUCGUCACAGAAGUUAAAAGCACCCAAGCUGCUGUCCUGUUUAUCCUGAUUCAAGACAUUGUAUUAGACACAACCUGAUUUUGUGGAAAAUACAGUUGGUAAAGUUCUGUGUGAGUACUAUAGACUUGGGAAAUACAGGUAAUUUGAAGUUGUUCGGGGUGGUUUUGGUUUUUUGGGGGGGUGGGGGGUGGGGAAGGAAGGUUUGGUAGUUUUUUCCCAUUGUGGUUGUUUUUCCCCAGAUCUGCUCUUUAUACACAGUUAAUCCAACAUGUAGAUGGAAUCACUGAGCUGGGACUUAGUACAUGUAAAAUGAGGAGUAAGAUGGAAGAUAAUGCCUUAAGUGAAACUGAAGUGCUCUUAAAAGACACUAUUCAGAAAAUAGGAUAAGACAAGACAUUUAAAGGAGAUUUAUGAAUCAAACAGCACCUGGCCC
rnacentral:lncRNA from 1 species